rnacentral:rRNA from 1 species
UGUUAGUGGCAGACGGGUGAGUAAUGCAUAGGGAUCUACCUAGUAGUAUGGGAUAGCCACUAGAAAUGGUGGGUAAUACUGUAUAAUCCCCGCGGGGGAAAGAUUUAUCGCUAUUAGAUGAGCCUAUGUUAGAUUAGCUAGUUGGUGGGGUAAAGGCCUACCAAGGCGAUGAUCUAUAGCUGGUCUGAGAGGAUGAUCAGCCACACUGGAACUGAGAUACGGUCCAGACUCCUACGGGAGGCAGCAGUGGGGAAUAUUGGACAAUGGGCGCAAGCCUGAUCCAGCUAUGCCGCGUGAGUGAGGAAGGCCCUAGGGUUGUAAAACUCUUUCAAUAGGGAAGAUAAUGACGGUACCUAUAA